rnacentral:rRNA from 1 species
GACGAACGCUGGCGGCGUGCCUAAUACAUGCAAGUUGAGCGCUGAAGGUUGGUACUUGUACCAACUGGAUGAGCAGCGAACGGGUGAGUAACGCGUGGGGAAUCUGCCUUUGAGCGGGGGACAACAUUUGGAAACGAAUGCUAAUACCGCAUAAAAACUUUAAACACAAGUUUUAAGUUUGAAAGAUGCAAUUGCAUCACUCAAAGAUGAUCCCGCGUUGUAUUAGCUAGUUGGUGAGGUAAAGGCUCACCAAGGCGAUGAUACAUAGCCGACCUGAGAGGGUGAUCGGCCACAUUGGGACUGAGACACGGCCCAAACUCCUACGGGAGGCAGCAGUAGUGAAUCUUCGGCAAUGGACGAAAGUCUGACCGAGCAACGCCGCGUGAGUGAAGAAGGUUUUCGGAUCGUAAAACUCUGUUGGUAGAGAAGAACGUUGGUGAGAGCGGAAAGCUCAUCAAGUGACGGUAACUACCCAGAAAGGGACGGCUAACUACGUG